UCUCUGUGUAGCUUUGGAGCCUGUCCUGGAUCUCGAGCCUGUCCUGGAUCUCGCUCUGUAGACCAGGCUGGCCUCAAACUCACAGAGAUCCACCUGCCUCCGCCUCCCAAGUGCUGGGAUUAAAGACGUGCGCCACGACCGCCUGGCUCCAAGGAACUAUUAUAUGAGCUAAAACUGCGUCUCUGGGCCGACCUACAGGAUUUCCAGAAACACAACUGUAAAGAGGUUUCCAAAAACAGAGACAGAGCGGUGUAACGAACAAGCCUUCCGGAAGCUGUGAGUGUGUAUAGUGCACGCUGCCCUGUUUACAUCACUAAGCUCUGGUGUCCUGUACUCUAACCCUCCUUAUGUCUGAGCCUUUGAAAGUGAAGAACCAAGAGAAGAGCACUUGCCUCAUGACAGGGACUGCAUGUGAGGAUCUAAACGCAUUUAUGCCGAGAAAUGCCUGUGUAACUGACAUAUCCUUUUGUUACUGUUAAGAUCCCUAUGAGCUAAGUCAAUGUAGGGGGGUCUGGACCUAAUCCCCAGUACCCCAAAUAAAAAAUAAUAAAUAACAAUCCUCUGAUACUUUUCUUCAAAACAGAUGUCCUGUACAGUCUCUUCCUUCUCUUUGCAGAAAACAUCAAGGUUGAUGAUGAAGCAAAGUGCCAAAGUAUAAUAGGUAUGCUUGGUGUACAACCCAGGGAUCCAUGCACAUCUGGGAAGCAAUACUACCCCUGCACUGUGCUCUCAGCUUCAACAUGUCUUUGACUCCAGCUUCUCCUGGGCAUCUUUUAAAGCUUCAGAAUACUUGUCCAGCUCAUCUUCUGUUCCUUUCAGCUUCUUCUGCAUGGUUGCUAAUUCAUCCUCUAGCUGUAGGAGCCCGAAGAGUAACCAGAGACAUAAACACAACCAUGCGUGCUUGGACUCUAAAGACCUCUGAGCCCUGCCUCCACGUUAUCAUCCCCCCAGAGAGACACUUUCUCCAGCCACUGUUCCAUGUGUUAUCCUAUGCAUUGACAUCAGACUCUAUAAUUUCUGGCCCUAAGAUGACCAAGUCUGGAGUUUUCAUCCAAGACUAUUGGAUGGUAGACACCUAGUGGGUCUGUGAUGCUUUUGAAGAGAGGGGGAAAAAAUGGACCACGUUCUUACCUUUUGUGCUAGAAGGGAAACAUUCUUCAAAAACUUGGUCUACUUCUACUUAAGUCCAACAGGCACACUGUGGCACACAAGAGGCUACCGGCUUUCUCAAGGUCAUGUGGACAGUCUAAGGUGGAUACCCCAGAGCAGUGCUUCUCAACCUUCCUGAUGCUGUGACCCUUUAAUGCAGUUCUUCAUAUCGCGGUGACCUCCAACCAUGAAAUUAUUUUAUUGCUGCUUCAUAACUAUAAAUUUGCUGCUACUGUUA